AAGAAUUUAUUUCUGACUAUGCUGUGAAGUCUGGCCUGAGGGUCCGCCCCAGUGAGUGAAUAGUCAGCCUUUCCCGCUGACUUGCGACGUCACCUCUGUCACGUGCUGGCCUCCCACGCAGGCUCGUCCCGACAGGCCUAUCCGCGCCCUGGGAGAAGACCGCCUUAAUGCCUGUAGGUGUGUGUAAGUCAGAACGCCUGCUGGGCAGGCCUCUUUCUUUUGUCUUCCACUGUGAAAUUUUCUUGGCUGUUCUUGGGUUUUUGUCAUUUCAUAUGCAUUUUAGAAUCAGGGUUCUCUUUCUCUCUCUCUCAUACACACACACACACACACACACACACACACACACACACACACACCCUGCUGGCAUUUAGAUGAGAACUACAUUGAAUGAUAUAUAUUAAUUAUUCCUCAAUUCCUUAGUUUAAUGGCUGCCGUGAAAGGCAUUUUCUAGUGGGUCACUGCUGAUGAAUUUGAUGCUGAGCUCAUGCCUAGCAACUUUAUCUUCCAUUGUCCUACAAUUCUAAUUUUUCUACCCAGAGUGUAAAUUCCUUUUGUGAGCAUAAAGAUGACCAGGCUAAGCCAGGGGCAGUAAGGGGAUGUGACAUCCACCCUGCUGGAAGUGAGCAGGCCUUCUGGUGCUUGCACCGGCUGAGCUUUAGGUGGUGACGAGUCGCUCCAGAACGUCACUGCACCGCACAGGAUGUGUACACCUGAGUGUGCCAAGGUCACCCUUCCCAUCAACACCUGAAGGACCCCGGACCCUGGCGUCCAGAGCGUUGAUCCGGAGCGCACAAGGCCCGUUUCUUAAGCAUUUCCUUAGAUGCUCUGCUGGGAUGCCAGGAUGGCAUGUGGGUGAGGAAGCCAGCACAGGAGGCUGGAGGACUGGACUAGCGGAUCCCAAACCCGCUCUCUGCUCUCUGGGCCGCCAGCCUUCCAGGGCUGAGGGCUCAUGGGGAAGGAGUUUUGCCCGGACAGCCUCCUCCCAGUGGGACGCCCUGUGGGUUUGUCUCCACUCCGGUAGCAAAACAAACAGGGGACCUCAACAGCUUCACUUCAAAAAGUAUUUUCUUUAAGUGGACUGUCUAUGAAGAAACCGAUCAAAGGGGCUGGAAAGGGCCACGUGGGUGGCCGAUCGCCGCUGGGAUUCAGGGGUCAAGGGCAGGCAGGGCAGGAGAAUGGGGACCCUUGGCAGGUGUGGUGCCUUCCCUCUCACCCCUGCACCAGCUGUGGGCUCCCCCCGGAUUUCAGCAGCCUUGUCCUCACUGUGUAAACAAGACUGUGUGAGGCGCACACGAGGGUCUUCCUGGACCAUGCGUGGUAACAGGAAGCAUCUUUCUUCCCACAGACUAUGGGCAGCCAGGGGGCCACGUCCCGCACAGGACCUGUGGGUCUGGGCCCGUGUCUCCCCCGCAGCGCCCCAACUCAUGCCUACAGCUUGACUCCCCUGGGGCUCAGGACUCUGCCAAAGGGCUGUUAGGAUUCCUCUGGUCUCCUUGAGCUGAAUCCCAGUGGGAUUUCUGUUCUCCAAGUAAGAAACCCUACCCUGAUUUAUAAAGAAAUAGGAACAUGAGCAAAGAUUUGGUUCAAGAACGUUUUCUUACCGGGAAACCACUGAUCAAUCAAAGAGUUGACGUGGUCUGUGAUAAAAGCCAUUGCCGAGAAGUCCCUCAUUUCCGAUUGGCAGAUAAUUUUUAUUCCUCCACUUUUUUUCUUUUUCCAGUUCACAUCUGAGGAUUCCACACUGCAACCCAGAAACAAAAAGAGGUCCAUUGUGAUCGGCCACGAAGGGCCCUGGGAGAAUCUCCUUGUCUCCAGGAGCUGAAGAAUAUCUGAAAAAUUCGCUGACGUCUUCCCUAAUUCGGAGUGAGGGAUGCUGUGGGAAGGGUGCCUGCCGCCACAGCCAGCUGGGUCCCCACCCCGCCAGCCACUGAGCUCGCUUGGGAGCUCAGGCCUCACACGAUGCUGGUGCUCGGUGACCUCCCACUUGGAACGUGGCAGGAGGAAGAGUUCAGAGGGAGGGCAGAGUGGCCAAAUGGGAACAUUAGGAGAGCCAGCCCCUGCGCCCACUCCUUCCAUCCCUCAGUGCACCCUCCUGUGUCACUAACAAGUCUCCCUCCCACUAACACGAGCUGUGAGUUACGAUUUUCAGGCUGUUGCAUAGAUUUUUGAACAUUUCAGUAAAAUCGGAAGAUCAAAGCGUAUUUUUAUUUAGCCACCAAGUUGUAAUUCCAUGACGGCGUUUUAAUUAGAAUGUGGCAAAAGCAAACUCAUGCUGAGAUUAAUGUCAAUUAUUCAACAGUCCUGGCUUAUGUCAGGGGUUCUCACUCUGUCAAGUGGGUCAGAAUCCUCUGGAAGGCUUGUGAAAAAACAGAGUCCUGGAGUUUCUGAUGCAUUGGGUCUGGGGCAGGCUGGAGAAUUUGCACUUCUAACAAGUUCCCAGAUGAGGCUGAUUCUGCUGGUCCAGGAACCCCACAUUGAGAACCACCACUCUGGACAAUGACUAUGUCUAUAGUCCUGUCUUGCAUGAAAUGGAUGUUGACUGACAGCCGGGACUCCUUUCAACAACCCCAGGUGAACCCACAGAAAAGAACUCCUUGGGUGAGGUUCUCACUGCUCCCAGACCAAGUUAAAGUUCUAUGUCCAUGGUUCUCAAGCUUGACUGGACAGUGGGAUCACCUGGGGAAGUUUAAAGAAUAUGGAUACCUGGGUGUCACACCCAUGGACUGUGAUUCAGUAGUCUGGGUCUGGGGUCUGGUCUGUGUCUGUUAGGAGCUCCCCAGGGGAGUCCAGUCACAGCCUGAAUGGCAAAGCCCUGGUUCUGAAGCCGUGGUCCUCCCAGGUGUGCGCCCGACCAGCUGUAUCACCUGGGGCAGGGACUAGAGAAGUAGACUCUAGAGUCCCAGCCCGCAGCCACCGAGUCAGAUCCUGAGUGGGGCCUUGCCAUCUGUGUUCUAACGAGCCCUCCUGGGGAUGCUGAUGUGGGUUAGAUUAGAACCCGUGCUCCUGCUGGGCUAUUCUGUCCGAGCCAGCUAGGCGCUAAUGUGAUAUUCACAGAAUGAUUCAAGCGGGUCCGCGGCCCAGAGGGGAGAGGGCAGCUGUGCUGCGCGGGACUCUGGGCCUGAUGUCGGCAGGGAAAGGGCCGUCAGCCAGGUCCCUCCAGCAAAGGGCGUCUCCCUCCCUCCCCAGAGGGUGCACCUGCAGGUGCCUCGCGAGCAUGCACCAACGGCCCCAUUCCAAAACAGCGGCUACCUGGAGGUCCAUCUCGGCCAAGCUGAUCAGCAUCCGU